UUUUGUUGUUUUCUUACCAUUCAGGGUCACCUAUAAAAAGUCACUGAUGCUGAUUGGAUGGAAAAUAUAUGUGCAAAUUUUUGCGUAGUUGAUGUGAUGACAUUUUUCACAGAAUUGUGAAUAAUGUAUGGAACAAGAACCAGUAAUCAAAAUUCGUCUGUCCAAGACGUUGCGCAAAAAUAGAAUUAAUAAUUUAAAGCAAACGGACACGGUAAACAGGCGGAAGAAAAGGUGCUUAUGAUCACAAUUCAUCUUGUAUUAUUGUAUAAGACAAGACUUAUUAGAAGCAGAGUUUCAUGUGUAUGAUUCAUGGAUCGUAAUUUUCUUUCACAUUUUGACUGACAGUAAUUGUAAUCCAUCCUCUCAAUAUGUUCCUUACCACAUACCUUUCAGUGUGUUUUUUCUCUCGAAUUGUGUUGAUAACGUUGUAUAAAUUCGAUUGGAUUUUUCACAGGGAAAUAAAUCGGCGGCCAUCGUUUGCCAGUAUUUAAACACUGACACAGAGGCAUCUUUUCUUCAGGAUCUGAAAACAUUUGCAUUUCGACAAUAUUGUGCACACCUCGAAUUUCAGGCGACGUAUAUAUUAGCAUUGAAGUUACCGUUAUUGACGUCGGUGAUUGGUAUCGUCACGACGUAUCUUCUAUUUUCUGUUCAAAUUCGGAAUGCAGUUUCGAAUUUCUAG
rnacentral:lncRNA from 1 species